rnacentral:rRNA from 1 species
UACGGAGGGGGCUAGCGUUGUUCGGAAUUACUGGGCGUAAAGCGCGCGUAGGUGGCUUUGUAAGUUAGAGGUGAAAGCCCGGAGCUCAACUUCGGAAUUGCCUUUAAGACUGCAUCGCUUGAAUCAUGGAGAGGUCAGUGGAAUUCCGAGUGUAGAGGUGAAAUUCGUAGAUAUUCGGAAGAACACCAGUGGCGAAGGCGACUGACUGGACAUGUAUUGACGCUGAGGUGCGAAAGCGUGGGGAGCAAACAGG